AUACGUAGGGUGCGAGCGUUGUCCGGAAUUACUGGGCGUAAAGAGCUCGUAGGUGGUUUGUCGCGUCGUCUGUGAAAUUCCGGGGCUUAACUCCGGGCCUGCAGGCGAUACGGGCAUAACUUGAGUACUGUAGGGGAGACUGGAAUUCCUGGUGUAGCGGUGAAAUGCGCAGAUAUCAGGAGGAACACCGGUGGCGAAGGCGGGUCUCUGGGCAGUAACUGACGCUGAGGAGCGAAAGCAUGGGUAGCGAACAGGAUUAGAUACCCUGGUAGUCCAUGCCGUAAACGGUGGGCGCUAGGUGUAGGGGUCUUCCACGACUUCUGUGCCGUAGCUAACGCAUUAAGCGCCCCGCCUGGGGAGUACGGCCGCAAGGCUAAAACUCAAAUGAAUUGACGGGG
rnacentral:rRNA from 1 species